rnacentral:rRNA from 1 species
ACACUGUGAGGAUUGACAGAUUGAAAGCUCUUUCUUGAUUCAGUGGGUGGUGGUGCAUGGCCGUUCUUAGUUGGUGGAGUGAUUUGUCUGGUUAAUUCCGUUAACGAACGAGACCUUAACCUGCUAAAUAGUCACGCGAACCGGUCCGCAAGGGCUCAAAGUUCGCGGCUCGACUUCUUAGAGGGACUAUUCGCACCCGCCAGCGAAUGGAAGUUUGAGGCAAUAACAGGUCUGUGAUGCCCUUAGAUGUUCUCGGCCGCACGCGCGUUACACUGACGGAGUCAACGAGCGUUUUUCCUUGCCCGAUAGGGUUGGGUAACCUCCUGAAACUCCGUCGUGAUGGGGAUAGAUCAUUGCAAUUAUUGAUCUUGAACGAGGAAUUCCUAGUAGGCGCGAGUCAUCAACUCGCGCCGAUUACGUCCCUGCCCUUUGUACACACCGC